rnacentral:rRNA from 1 species
CCUACGGGAGGCAGCAGUGGGGAAUAUUGCGCAAUGGGCGAAAGCCUGACGCAGCGACGCCGCGUGAGGGAUGAAGGUCUUCGGAUCGUAAACCUCUGUCAGCAGGGAAGAACGGUCACUGUGCUAAUCAGCAGUGAAUUGACGGUACCUGCAAAGGAAGCACCGGCUAACUCCGUGCCAGCAGCCGCGGUAAGACGGAGGGUGCGAGCGUUAAUCGGAAUUACUGGGCGUAAAGCGAUCGUAGGCGGUAUGUCAAGUCAAGGGUGAAAUCCCCGGGCUCAACGGGGGAACUGCCUUUGAAACGGGAAAACUGGAGUGUGUGCGAGGAUAGUGGAAUUCAAGGUGUAGGAGUGAAAUCCGUAGAUAUCUGGAGGAACAUCAGUGGCGAAGGCGAGUGUCUGGCACAUAACUGACGCUGAGGAGCGAAAGCGUGGGUAGCAAACAGGAUUAGAUACCCUGGUAGUC